CGAAGGUUCUGAUUGGUCCCUCUGGGAGGAAGCGCGCGGGGACAGCGCCGUUUCUGUUACGGUCCGCAGGCCGCGGGGCUCGCCGCCGGCGCCAUGGCGCAGAGGGCCUUCCCGAACCCCUACGCCGACUAUAACAAGUCCCUGGCCGAAGGCUACUUCGAUCCCGAAGGGCGGCUGACUCCUGAGUUCUCACAGCGCUUGAACAAUAAGAUUCGAGAGCUUCUGCAGCAAAUGGAGAGAGGCCUGAAGUCAGCAGACCAUCGGGAUGGCACCGCUUACACUGGCUGGACAGGUAUUGCUGUGCUUUACUUACAUCUCUAUGAUGUGUUCGGGGACCCUGCCUACCUCCAGAUGGCACAUAGCUACGUAAAGCAAAGUCUGAACUGUUUGUCCAAGCGUUCCAUCACCUUCCUUUGUGGGGAUGCAGGCCCUCUGGCUGUUGCCGCUGUGGUGUAUCACAAGAUGAGCAAUGAGAAACAGGCAGAAGAUUGCAUCACCCGGCUAAUUCACCUAAAUAAAGUUGAUCCCCACGCUCCAAAUGAAAUGCUCUAUGGACGAGUGGGCUACAUCUACGCUCUUCUCUUUGUGAACAGGAACUUUGGAGUAGAAAAGAUUCCUCAACGCCACAUUCAGCAGGUUUGUGAAACAGUCUUAACAUCUGGAGAAAACCUAGCUAGAAAGAGAAACUUCACAGCAAAGACUCCGCUGAUGUAUGAGUGGUACCAAGAAUAUUAUGUGGGGGCUGCUCAUGGCCUGGCAGGGAUUUACUACUUCCUGAUGCAGCCCUGCCUUCAAGUGAGCCCUGCCAUGCUACACAGCUUGGUCAAGCCCAGUGUAAACUAUGUCUGCCAGCUGAAGUUCCCUUCCGGCAAUUACCCUCCUUGUGUGGGCGACACUCGGGAUCUGCUGGUCCACUGGUGUCACGGUGCCCCUGGGGUCAUCUACAUGCUCCUCCAGGCCUAUAAGGUAUUCAAAGAGGAACAGUAUCUCAACGAUGCCUAUCAGUGUGCUGAUGUGAUCUGGCAGCAUGGGUUGCUGAAGAAGGGGUAUGGGCUGUGCCAUGGCACUGCGGGGAAUGCCUAUUCCUUCCUGGCGCUGUACAACGUCACCCAGGAUACCAAGUACCUGUACAGGGCCUGUAAGUUUGCUGAAUGGUGCUUAGAUUAUGGAGAUCAUGGAUGCAGAACACCAGACACCCCCUUCUCCCUCUUUGAAGUACAAGAGCUCAGUAUUAAAAAUCAGUGAGCACGUGGACUAGCACAAUCCUUAUACUAAUAGUCAUAGUGAUGACUACCAUUAUGGAGCCAGGCACGUGCUGGGCAUUAUGCAGAUGCCGUCAUAAAUCUCAGUGAAAACAUACAGACAUCACCCGCACGUCACCGAUGUGAAGACAGGUAGGGGACCCUCAGUGCUCACACAACCAAUGGCAGGGCUGUGCCUUGAACUUGUCUGGCUCCACGCUCCCUCCUGUCUUCCCCUGGAUGAAGCGGCUGAACACCUCACUGGUGAUCUCCUCUAAUAUUGAACUGCAAGGAACGAAUGGCUGGGACAAUAUAUUUCCUGGCUGAUCUCCUCGUGCCCUCGAAAGCCCGGUUUCCUGCAUUUGAGCUAUAAAAGGACAGCCUGCCCUGCAACUCAUGCAUGACCCUUCCUGUAUAUCAGACCUGAGCGAAAUGCUGUCAGUGCUUUUCAAUGAAACAGUCAAACUGUGUACUUGGUUUAGUUGAUUUUUUUUUCCAGAAUUUGUCUUUAGUUCACUUCCUUUUUUUUAUCAUUUAUUUUAUUUUAAAAUAUCCAAGGAAAUCCUUUAACUUUAACUUCGCUUUCUUCCAAAAAAGAAGCUGGGUGAUAUGUAUAAUAUUUUGAGGGCAUAUAUGUAUAUAUAUUUUAUAACUUGGAGGAAGUCUUGCUCUUAUUUAAGCUUAUGAAUAUAAUUGUCUGUUACUGUUCUAAAAAUGGUUAAAGAAACUGAAUAUAGAUAACAGAUAAAUAUAUGAUUAUUGUUGGACAUUGCCCUCUACCUCUGCUAUUUAGUAUUUUUCCUCCAACAGUUCAGUUUUAUGACUUUGCUUUUCUCUAUGUGGCUGAUUAUGAAAGAGAACAAAAAUAUAACUCUGUGCUUCCAGGACAAAAAUUGCAGGAGUUAAAAACUGCUCUAGCGACCUAAAUGCCAUUUUUUAAAUUCACAAUGUUAAUUUAAACUAGAGAUCAGCAUACUCUGACAUUUGCCCCUUUUUGUUAGGAAAGCAUCCAGGCUCUAGUUGUGAAAAUGCUUUGAAGGUUUGUUCUAGAUAAGCUAACAAUAAGAGCUUAUUGUGUGUUAUUUUUCUAAAGUAAGCUAGUGCAGUUUGUAACUAUUUAUUUAAAUUUGUUUGUUCUCCAGAAUUAGUAUAAGAUCAGGAAACCAGUGUUCAGGCUGUGACUAUGUUGUAGCUGAGGACUUGAGUCCACCCUGUCCCACUGACCUUCUAAACUUUGAUUUGUUUCACUUGCUUGGCAGUGACUUUGCUUUCAUCUGGCUGUUUGGUGUGAGCCACGUUUCCCUUCCUAGCAAUCUAUCUGGAUGUAGGUCUUUUCACUAAGUAGUAAAGCAUUCUAAUUCUAUUUAAAAGGAGGGAGGGGUGCUGUGUGUAUAGCCAUUAGCUUGAAAAAAACAAAACACUAAGCUUUUGCUAUAAAUCCAGUGAUCAUGCUUAGAACAAAUGGAUCCUGCCUUUUUGCAUAUGUUAGGCUUUACAUUAAUCAAUUUCUGAGCCCUCAGAAUAGGGUAUUUAUAUAGUAGAUGCAGAAUCCCUGGUGCUUCAAGUCUGUACAAAUGUUUUGACUCAUCAGCUUCUACUCCUCCUUCCAUUGCUGCCUUUCUCAAGCUUGUCUUAUUCUAUGUUUUGACUAAUUUUAGAACAUUUGCAGCUUUAAAAAAACAGGGUCUAAAAGUUUUAAAUGUGCCUAUCUCACAGCUCUCCCAGUCAUAAAAACAUGCUAUUUUUUAUUGGAAGUUUGAGCCAAAACCCCACUGAAUGUGUGUUGGUUCCUGCAGUCCCCUAUUGUUUUCCACAAAGCACCAAAAUAGCUAAUAUUAUUAGAAAUUGUCUAAGCCUUUAAACAGGGGUGGGGAACCUUUUUUCUGCCAAGGGCCAUUUGGAUAUUUAUAACACCAUUUGCAGGCCAAACAGAAUUAUCAACCUAAAAAUUAGCCUGCUAUAUUUGGUCAAACAUUUAAUUAACUCACCCCUAAUGCCUUGGCAGGGCCAGACCAAAUGAUAGCGUGGGCCUUAUAUGGGCCAGACUUUCCCCACCCCUGCUUUAAAGGCUACUGACAACAGGAUCUAAAAAACAGCCCACUACUCAAGUCCUAGGAUUCGCUUGUCCUCUGUGACUUGUGCUAUUCGGGGACAACCUGUGCCUCUUGGGUUUCUCAAGUGCUGCUGAGAGCCAUGUGCAAGCUCUCCCUUCCCAGGAACGUUUCAGCGGUGGUGUCAGCAUCCACAGGAAAGCUAAUUUGCCUUGGCUGGGUGUCUAACUGGAAGGAAUAAAACCCACUUGGUUUAGUUAAAUAUCUUACUCUACUGUGCCUGUACUUUAAGCAAUUAUAGUUACUAAAGGAAUAACAACAAAACAUAAUUUCUUAGCCAGAGACUUGAUCACAGUGCUUCUCCAAACAUCUUAGUCAGUUUAAACCCCAGGAAGACUUCAAGGCAGGGAAAAUAAUAUUUUGAAUAAGAUUCUUAUUAAUACUUGAAUUACAAUCUGGCUACUGUCAUCCAUUAUCAAAUUCAUCAAUAUAAACACAAUUCAAGUACCCUUUUUUUUCUUUUUAGGACUUACAAAACUGGCAGGAUUUGUGUCGUUUUUAAUGUUUAUGCAUAAGAGCUGAGAAAGUUGAUAGGAUUUUAACUUAGGCAAAGGCUAUAAACUAAGACCAUGAUAGAAACUGAAAGAAACUUUUACAUUAGCUUUCUUAGUUUUAAAAGGAAGAGGCAUCAUUUCAGUUGUAUUUCUGUUGUAUUAUUUUUCUCUCAUAUAUUUUUCUUUUUGGUGAAAAAAAACAAAAAACCUCCCCAAAACUUGCCUCCCAGAAAACUCAUUAGUGUGUCUCGUCUCCAUGAAAAGACUAGGUGGUAAAACCUUAAGAGCUUGCCGCACAGUGUUCGUUUGUCCUGCCUAUGUUUGUUCCUGUAGUGAUGAAAAUUGCAGUAGUUAACUUUUCAUCAUGGAAAAAAUGCUAACAUUAUCAUAACUAUCUUCAUCAAUACCAUUGGGCUUUGGUCUCCUCCAGGUUGUCUGUCUCUAAUCCUUAGAGUCAUUUGGCUCCCUUUUCUUCUCUGAUGUCAGUUCCAAUUAUUUGGCAUCAAAAGCCUUCAUGGUAGGUAGAGCGUUGGGUAAAAAUGGAUCGAAGACUCUUUUCUCUCCUUGUUACUACUUUCUUAUGUAACUGAAUGGACGGAGAUCCUUUGCUCCUAUGUCCUCAGGCUAAUUUGUGUCUAGUCUUGUGAUGCCCUGCUUUCUACUAGCUGACUUUGAAAUACAACAUGUGAAAAGUAGACAUUUGUUCAUCUAUUCCUUUGGCUACUAGAACUCUUCUGUAGUCCUUUUUACUUAUACUGAAUUACACUUCUGCUUCUCCUAAAUAGGUCAAAGCACCCCAUUUCUAUAUUACUAGGCUGUAGAACUGUUUCUCCCCAUAGGUAUAAAACUAAGUGUUUGGGAUAUUCAGGGAACCCACCCCAAUAUUAUAUUGCCAUUUAUUGGGAAGGGCUGGGAUCAUAUGUAUUUCUAUGUUCUGUAAAGGAUUUGACUUACUGGUUCUCAAUAAAAUUUUAUUAGGACUAUA